AGAGUUUGAUCCUGGCUCAGGAUGAACGCUAGCGGCGGGCUUAAUACAUGCAAGUCAAGGGGUAGCAAUACACCGGCGUACGGGUGCGUAACGCGUAUGGAACCUGCCCUUAUCUGGGGGAUAACUCGGGGAAACCUCGAGCUAAUACCGCAUAAGAUAGUAGAAUGGCACCAUUCAGCUAUUAAAGAUUUAUUGGAUAAGGAUGGCCAUGCGUAAGAUUAGAUAGUUGGCGAGGUAACGGCUCACCAAGUCUACGAUCUUUAGGGGCUCUGAGAGGAGAAUCCCCCACACUGGCACUGAGAUACGGGCCAGACUCCUACGGGAGGCAGCAGUAGGGAAUAUUGGGCAAUGGGCGGAAGCCUGACCCAGCCACGCCGCGUGCAGGAAGACGGCCCUCUGGGUUGUAAACUGCUUUUAACUGGGAAGAAAAGAGGCCUUGCGAGGCAAGUUGACGGUACCAGUUGAAUAAGCCACGGCUAACUACGUGCCAGCAGCCGCGGUAAUACGUAGGUGGCGAGCGUUAUCCGGAUUUAUUGGGUUUAAAGGGAGCGUAGGCGGCUGAUUAAGUCAGCGGUGAAAGGUAGCAG
rnacentral:rRNA from 1 species